UUGGACAAUGGGCGCAAGCCUGAUCCAGCAAUGCCGCGUGCAGGAAGAAGGCUUUCGGGUUGUAAACUUCUUUUGUUCGGAACGAAAAGGUUCUGGCUAAUCCCGGGGGCUCAUGACGGUACCGUAAGAAUAAGCCCCGGCUAACUACGUGCCAGCAGCCGCGGUAAUACGUAGGGUGCGAGCGUUAUUCGGAAUUACUGGGCGUAAAGCGGGGGCAGGCGGUUCUGUAAGACAGGCGUGAAAUCCCCGGGCUCAACUUGGGAAUGGCCAUUGAAAUGCCGCCCUGGAGUGCGGCAGAGGGGGAUGGAUUCCGGGUGUAGCGGGAAAUGCGUAGAUAUCGGAGGUUUACUCAUGCGGGAGGCAGCCCCCUGGACCUUCAACUGACGCUCAGCAGGGUUCGCCCC
rnacentral:rRNA from 1 species